rnacentral:rRNA from 1 species
UACGAAGGGUGCAAGCGUUACUCGGAAUUACUGGGCGUAAAGCGUGCGUAGGUGGUUCGUUAAGUCUGAUGUGAAAGCCCCGGGCUUAACCUGGGAAUGGCCGUUGAAACUGGCGAACUGGAGUGUGGCAGAGGGGGGUGGAAUUCCGCGUGUAGCAGUGAAAUGCGUAGAGAUGCGGAGGAACACCGAUGGCGAAGGCAGCCCCCUGGGCUAACACUGACGCUCAGGCACGAAAGCGUGGGGAGCAAACAGG